rnacentral:rRNA from 1 species
UACGGAGGGUGCAAGUGUUAUCCGGAUUCACUGGGUUUAAAGGGUGCGUAGGCGGAUUUGUAAGUCCGUGGUGAAAUCUCCAGGCUUAACCUGGAAACUGCCAUGGAUACUAUAAAUCUUGAAUGUUGUGGAGGUUAGCGGAAUAUGUCAUGUAGCGGUGAAAUGCAUAGAUAUGACAUAGAACACCAAUUGCGAAGGCAGCUGGCUACACAAAUAUUGACGCUGAGGCACGAAAGCUAGGGGAGCAAACGGG